CUCAACAGCAGUCUGACAAACAUCGAUUCCCGAGAAAAUCAAAUUCCACAAUCUGAUUCCCCCGACACUCUGGAAAAAUUAAUGGAAUCCAAGAAAUUGGCUGCUCUUCUUUCUUCUCUCAUCUCUCAACUUCUUCUCCUCCUUUUACUCAUUUUCCCUUCCUCCAAUUCCUUUGAUUCCAAUACCAAUUCCUAUGCUAACCUUUUACCUCUUCUCCACCAUUUCCUCUCCUCCCA
rnacentral:misc_RNA from 1 species